AGUGCUUGAUAAUAUUGUAACUUCAGUUGAAAAUAAAGUUACUGCUAAUGAAGUGUUGGAAAAUAUUGUUAAUUUAGUUGAAAAUCAAAUAACAGCUACUGAAGUGUUAGAAAAUAUUGUUAAUUCAGCUGAAGAUCAGAUAACAACUGAAGAAGGUAAUCUAAGUUAAAAUAGUUAUAAUAUAGUUUGUUAUUUUCAAAUGGAAAAUUAAAAUGAAAGAAAGUAGCUUAAAUGAAUUAAUAUUUCUUUAUUUGUGUGCAUUCUUAAUAUUAACAUAUAUUUCUGAAUUGCAUUUUCAUGUGGCUAUGUGAAGUAAAUGUCAUAAUUGAAUUUCUUAGAACACCAAAAAUCAUCUCUUAAUUUGAAAACC